CCAAAACAGAAUUUCCUGCCAUGUCUGUGUUGUGAAGUAUCCUUCUCCUUUGAUUUUACUUACUUAUUUGAACAUGCAAAGCUCACUAUUUGCUGUUGAGCUGUACAAAAACAAGCGGUGGGCAUGAUCCAUCUCAACCCACUACAGUUUGACCAGUCCUAGAUUACAAUCAAUGAGAAAGGUCCCAGCACUCAAGAGGCUAAGUUAAGAAUUGUCAAGAAGCUAAUGGUUUCAGUGACCACGAGGUGCUCCUAGGUAGAGCUACUGCAGCAUAAAACUGUUGGCCAACAGAUGCCACCUCAUCGCUGUCUUUAACAACUCCAUUCCCAUCCUGGAUGGAGGAGCCCAGCUUUAUGGCAGCGUUUAUAAGCUGUGUUGCCAAUACCAACGUGGAUAAAAGAAGGGAAAGAACGAAGGGAGGAAAGACAGAAGAGAAGGGAGACAUUAGCGAAAUGCAGGAAACAGGACUGUAGGAGGCAGAAGGACCACGCACUGUGAAAAACAAUCAUUCUGUCCUGCACUUGGAGGUGCUCAUCUAUCCAGGAGUCUGUAGAUAACCAACGGGAAACUUUAGCUGGUCCCUCUGCUAAACCAACACUCCCUCUGGAGUUCCCGUGAGUUUUCUAUGAUCCUCUCUGAUGAAGAUAGAAAACUGUAUCCUGCUCCUUCCAGCACACUUCAUCAAUAAAGUAGCCUUUGCC
rnacentral:lncRNA from 1 species